rnacentral:rRNA from 1 species
GACAGAGGGUGCAAACGUUGUUCGGAAUUACUGGGCGUAAAGCGUGUGUAGGCGGUCUACUAAGUCGGGUGUGAAAGCCCUGGGCUCAACCCAGGAAGUGCACUCGAAACUGGCAGGCUAGAGUACUGGAGAGGUUGGUGGAAUUCUCGGUGUAGAGGUGAAAUUCGUAGAUAUCGAGAGGAACACCGGUGGCGAAGGCGGCCAACAGGACAGAUACUGACGCUGAGACACGAAAGCGUGGGGAGCAAACAGG